rnacentral:lncRNA from 1 species
GCAGCUGUCCGGUGUAGCCGAGGAAUGCCACCGCUCCUGGCAGCCUGGGAGCUGACUUAUCUAGCAGUUCGCGCUCCCUUUCCGAAAAGUUUUCUCAUUAAGAUAAAGAAGGAACAUCUGAGCAACACAAAAGCUUAUGAUUUGCGACUAGAUUUGAAAUCAAGGCUACAAGAAAGACAAAAGUAUGUUGCUAAUGAGUAUUGCUCUUUCAUCUCCUAGACAAAAUGUAAGCCCGAGCAGCCUUGUCUUCUGCCUCAAGUUCUGACUGCGGGGCGGGGAAGCGGCGGAGGGAGGUAUUCAGGGUACCUUAAUUUUGAUUAAGAUUGGAAGGUGUGUUUGUUUAAACAGACUCUUUGUGGUAUAAACUUUAUUUCAUUAUUUAGUGUAUAAAGACAAAUUUGGUUAAAAGAUUAUUUUUAAAUGAUUUUUGUUUCCAUUUAAAAAGCUAAACUUCUGAAACUAAGAAGAUCUAGGAGUCUAUUUCUUAAAGGCCUUUAACAGAAUCAUAGGAUUUUGCUUUAAUUAGAUGGAAAUAUAUAUGUAAAACACACACACGCACACACACAUAUCUUAUCUCCUUGCCUUAUUUGUAUAGAAGAAAAAGAGCGAAAUGAUCUUGCCCAGACCCCAGCUCGGUCAGCAGCCGGCUAGCGGAGGAGAUAGAUAGCCUUUCCUGUGAUGAAGUGAGCCUGUGUAAGAGUCUGGGACCGAGUUACCACUACAAAUUUAGUUUUUCCUCCAUUGCAUUUUUCUCCCAUAAACACUAGAGUCUUCAGAGCAUUUUCCUAUCGCCAUUGUUUUUCUUUUCGCGCAGCUGCGCACAAGUUAAUAUUAGCCAUCCCCCUGCCGGUCCUCUCUGGGAGAUCUCGUUUAAAUUUACUGAGCGAAGGGAGGAGGACGAUAUAAUUAAUCUGUGCCCUCUUAGAAAAUUGAAAGAUUGGGGUGGACUGACUUUUCAAAAAGCUAACUUGUGCGUGGGAACCAGAAAGACUUGUGUUUUUCAUCAAAUGCAGAAAUCGGUAUUGGGGGUGGUGGAGAAAUUCACAUAAUGCAUUUUCCAUGAAAUAGCAUCGUUGUGGAGACCGCUCUUCCGAAUGGAAAGUCAGAGUCGUGCAGAACAUUGGCGCCAUCAGGUCGUGUAUAGAGCAGGAUUUCGUUGAAAGUGGAAUUAAACAUAAAGAUUGCAUAAUUUGAUGUCUAAUCAUCAGCAAGUGGAACAAAACCUGGAUUGAAUAGACGGUGACUCGAUCUCCGUACAGACUGAGGUCCAAAGGUCUGCGCUCACUUCUGGAACUUUCCUUUUGGGCCUUGACCGAACUCCUGUUAUUGUGUGCAGUAGCAGAGGCUGCGCUGCGUGGUUCAGUUUGUGCAAAGGCUAUUUAUUGUUUCUCAUUUACUGACCACUCGGGAGAAGCCUUUAGCAAUAGUUUUUCCCGACACAAACUUGAAUAAAGUCGACCCCUGCAGUUCUUCCUGAGGCUCUACAAGCUUCCUGGAUGCAGGAACCAUGUGCUGUUCUGACGACGCUCCGAAACCUAGUUCAGUGCCUGGCACUAGACAAUAAAAAAUUGCUUUCUGAAUGAAAGUAUAUGCUGGCAGGCGCA